rnacentral:lncRNA from 1 species
UAGGUUAAGCCUGCAGCUUUUGUUUACUAAGAACUUCAAGGAAUAUGCCAAUGUUAUCUUGUAGACAUCUUCAGCAAGUGCAAUCUUGAAGUGAUGUAACUAGAAAUGCAGUGCAUGGUCCAUGAUUAAAAGUGAUAGAGGUGUAUUGACAAAUCUUUUGAUUCCUUGAAUGAAAAACUUGACUCCCUCAUGUGGUGAAGUCUCCACGAGGAGUUUAUGAUUACUAUACAGUGUCAUGGUUUUCAGCCUGUGACUUAAAGUUGGACCAAUGCCUAUGUUCAUUUAUUAACCUUGAUAGCAUAGCUAAAGAAACAUAAAGUAUCACAUCCAGAGGUAAUACCUGUUACUACUGCAAUUGUUUUCCUGCAUUAUAAUCUCGUGGUCUAUGUUUAUUGUUGUUAGUUAGAUUUCAAAGAGCAGAUACAAGGAUAAUAAAGAUACUGAAUUGUGUAACUUCUUUAUUGUGCAUCAAUCCCAGAUAGCUGCUAGUGCUUGUGGAGGAUAGGAAAUAUUCUGGUAAUGGCUAUAGUCCAUGUAACUUUCUGGUACAAAAUAUUUCUCAACUCGUUUGAUCCCCAACUGUUUGAUAACACAUGGUGGAAUAGAAACAAUCAUAAGUAUACCACUGUUAAUUUUGUAAAUUUUGCUGGAUAUGCAGGAUGUAUUUGUCCAAAUCUUUGUUCAAAGGUCUCAAAGAAGUCCUUAACUAGAGAUGUAUUCGAAAUACAACCUGUCCAUUUAUUUGUAUUUCAGUUGCCAUCACUUAUCUAGCAUUAUGUAAGAUGUGAUGGGCAAAUGAUAACCAGCCAUUCAGCAUAGUUUGUUAUGCACUAUGCACCCAUAUGGCCCAUACUGUAUCCAGAUAGAAGUUCCUAACAGCCUAACACUUGGUUUGCCUUAAAGCUCUGAUACAUGUGCUGUAUAUGAUCCUUUACUUUCUUCUUGCAUUAAGCAUAUUAGCCUCUAGGACCAUAAUUUGUAAAAGGCACAUUUAGAAUUCUCAUAGAGCGACUCUUUCAUGGUUUGAACUCUGAAAUCUCUUGGUAAAAAUUGUUAAUUUUGGCAUUUUGCGACUGUCUUUGGUGUGUGUCAUUUUUCAGAGAUCUAAUAGUAAUAAUCAUUUCAAGGGCAUGGUGAUCAUGAAGGAAAACAACGCAACCCAUAAUUUGCAAUCAUUCUUCCAGGAAUGAAAACUAUGCAACCCAUAUUUCUUUAGUAACACUAGAGCAGCUAGCCUCAUACAAUGCAUAGAUCAAAUUAUACUUUUCUGUGAAAAUUUGGUGCUGGUGGAUAGUUUUAAGUGUGUGUUUCUGAUACCGCUAAAGGGAAAAAAAAAUGCGUCCUACAUUGCUAAUUUGCUAUGACAUCAUGGAGUGGUAUUUUUAUCUUACCAUUUAUGCCUAGUAGUACAAUUGUCAUUGCUCAGUUCCCAUUGUAGCACUUUAGGGCAUAAAGCCCAUAAUGUUGUUUGAUAAACGUAACAAUGUUCUCACCGACAAGUUUGGCUAUGAUUCCAG